CAUAUCCGUUGUUGCCUAGUUACUUCGUGACGUUAUCAUUGUGUGCCAUAUUGUCAUAUCCCAACCCAUAGUGAUAGUCUCAUUUAAUUAUUUCAUUUGUUUAUAUUAUUUUAAAUUAUUUAUUUUUAUUAAUUUAAUUAGAUCUGUAUUUUUUUUUCACUUAAUGAUAGAAAGUGCGGGUAGGAUUCUUUUACUGUGAAUCAGACUAAAAUAAUUUUAGUUUGAGCGGUUAAAAUCAAAUAUGAUUUUGCCAUGAGAAUAAUGCCGAAACUGGCUAUGUAGUCAAACACUGUCGUCUGGCUAAAUAUAGAUCUACAAAUUUUGUACAUCUCUUUGGUACAAUUAAAUCAUCUAGACUCUAAUUUGAAAUAUUAUUAAUUGAAAGAUGAAUGAAGAUUACUGCCAGUGAAGAACAUUUGUGAUCUAUGACGUGCCCAUAAGAUGCCACAUUUUCCUCCAUGAUGAACUGUGUACUAAUGAAGAUGAUUCUGGAAUGUUAUGAACAUUGACAUUGAAUAUGAGGAACUGUCAAGUCAAGAUGAAGAUGUCAAGAUUUUAUGUUUGUUGUCUUCCCCUUAAAUUGAAAAUGCCCUUGUAAGACUUGACAGUAGUGGAAAAAUAUUGACAUAUUUUUUUUCAAGGGGGGGAGGAAUCUGUUAGACACCUUAUUUAUAUAGGUUAGUUAUUUAGCGACGCACCAUAGGAGACGCAUAUUGAACGGGACUAGUGACGUUUGGGAUAUGUUGGGUUAGAGACCGGAAAAUCAGUUAGCGAUAGAAUAUUCCAGGGUAACGACGUGUUUAGUGACAGAGACUUCUACUGUGGCCUUUUAUCAGAAUAAAUCCAUGUACAAUUGUU